CCUACGGGAGGCAGCAGUGAGGAAUAUUGGUCAAUGGACGAGAGUCUGAACCAGCCAAGUAGCGUGAAGGAUGACUGCCCUAUGGGUUGUAAACUUCUUUUAUAAAGGGAUAAAACGAGGCACGUGUGCCUUUUUGCAUGUACUUUAUGAAUAAGGAUCGGAUAACUCCGUGCCAGCAGCCGCGGUAAUACGGAGGAUCCGAGCGUUAUCCGGAUUUAUUGGGUUUAAAGGGAGCGUAGAUGGGUUGUUAAGUCAGUUGUGAAAGUUUGGGGCUCAACCGUAAAACUGCAAUUGAUACUGGCAGUCUUGAGUACAGUAGAGGUAGGUGGAAUUCGUGGUGUAGCGGUGAAAUGCUUAGAUAUCACGAAGAACACCGAUUGCGAAGGCAGCUUACUAGACUGAGACUGACAUUGAUGCUCGAAAGUGUGGGGAGCAAACAGGAUUAGAUACCCGGGUAGUC
rnacentral:rRNA from 1 species